rnacentral:rRNA from 1 species
UUGAAACACCGGUUCCCAUACAAUCACCAAAGUUAAGCAGCAUCAAGCCUGGUCAGUAACUAGAUGGGUGACUACAAGGGAAGACCAGGUGCUGUAAG